rnacentral:rRNA from 1 species
GAUGAACGCUGGCGGCGUGCUUAACACAUGCAAGUCGAACGAAGCAUUUAGGACAGAUUACUUCGGUUUGAAGUUCUUUAUGACUGAGUGGCGGACGGGUGAGUAACGCGUGGGUAACCUGCCUUGUACUGGGGGAUAGCAGCUGGAAACGGCUGGUAAUACCGCAUAAGCGCACAAUGUUGCAUGACAUGGUGUGAAAAACUCCGGUGGUAUAAGAUGGACCCGCGUCUGAUUAGCUAGUUGGUGAGAUAACAGCCCACCAAGGCGACGAUCAGUAGCCGACCGGAGAGGGGGACCGGCCACAUUGGGACUGAGACACGGCCCAGACUCCUACGGGAGUCAGCAGUGGGGAAUAUUGCACAAUGGAGGAAACGCUGAUGCAGCGACGCCGCGUGAGUGAAGAAGUAAUUCGUUAUGUAAAGCUCUAUCAGCAGGGAAGAUAGUGACGGUACCUGACUAAGAAGCUCCGGCUAAAUACGUG